rnacentral:rRNA from 1 species
GUCCACGCUGUAAACGAUGGGUACUAGGUGUUCGGGGUAUUGACCCCCUGAGUGCCGCAGCUAACGCAUUAAGUACCCCGCCUGGGGACUACGGCCGCAAGGUUAAAACUCAAAGGAAUUGACGGGGCCCGCACAAGCGGUGGAGCAUGCUGUUCAAUUCGACGCAACGCGAAGAACCUUACCUGGGCUAGACAACGGCGGACCGCCUGGGAAACCAGGCUUUCCCUUCGGGGACUGCCGGUUCAGGUGUUGCAAUGGCUGUCGU